AACGCACCUUGCACCCUUUGGUAUUCCGAAGGGUAUGCCUGUUUGAGUGUCAUUAAAUUAUCAAAACAUAAGUAAUGUUGUGUUUUGGAUCUGAGGGAUUUUGUUGGCUCAAUUGAGUUGGCUCCCUUUAAAUGCAUGAGUGGCUUGUUGAUCCCCAUUGAUUGGUGUGAUAGUUUAUCUACAUCAUGUAAAAUGGCUAGGUCAUGUAAAGAUAAGCUGCUAUCUAAUUAGUCUUGUGUAAAAGACAGCUUGUAAUUAAUUUGACCUCAAAUCAGGUAGGAUUACCCGCUGAACUUAA
rnacentral:misc_RNA from 1 species